UGGCCUCCGCCCGGUGGCCAAACCUCCACCAAGCCUCCCUCCACUGCGGUUGCCCUUGCGCUGGUGCCCUGUGGAGGGAGCGGAGGGAGCGUCGCGUCGGAGGGAACUGUUGGGGCUGCGGGAGAUGUAAUGACAGUGACAGGGCUCCAGCAUGGCUUGACAUGUUAGCAGACACCACUGCUGCACUCCGGACCAAGUCCCCCGCGCCUGCCGCCUGUCACCUUCCACCGCCCACAGCCCACGUCCCACCGCUGGAGGACCCUUCUCAGUCCUGGAGCCCUGCUUACCUGGCAGGAGGUAGCAGGCUGGGGCUUAAGGGGCACAGCCGUUUGGAAUCCCCAGCCUUCCCCAGAGCCUAAUUCUAAACUCCGAUGAAGUUCAAGAUUUCUGCCCCACCCCAGCCCACCUCGUUCAGGCCACUUCCAGAAUCAUCCUUUCUACUCAGCCACUCCACGCCUGGAGAUUGCAUUAGAGGACCCCAGUUCUCUGGGAUUCAAGCUCCUGGCGCUGAUCAGGACCCAUCCCUGUCUCCACCUGACUACACCUGCAAAGACUCCAUCCAAAGAUGGUCAUGUUCACACACCGGGGGUUAGGACUUGAGCAUAUCUUUUCCUGGGACACAAUUCAACCUGCAAAAGGCAUUCGGAAGCCCUCUGUUUGCAGAAUUGGAAGCAAUCGUGCAACUGUUUCUGCCCACACAGAGGAAAACAAGCCUCCGGAAUGUGUAAUCAACACAGUCUGGCCCCUCCUCUGCUGCCGGAAAUAGUGAAAUCCUCCCAGAUCAUCAGUGCUCCUAUAUCCAUGCGUCCUCUGUGCCCCGUGAUUUGGCUGCAAAGUCCUGUCUCCAGCUGACCCUCAAGUUCUCUCCCCCUCUCCCGCCCAUGGCUGGCACCCUUGGGCUUUGGCUGAAGAUAGAACCGGUCAACCCAGAGGUUGCCCUCAUCACCUUUGACAGCAUGAGCUUCGGGAAAGAAGUCAGCCCUAGCCUUGGUUACCAGUCUUCCCCCAGCCACUCGGUACUCACCUACAUGAUGAUAUCUGACACUGGUCUCCUGGGGAUCGAACCCCUAAGUUGGAAGACAGGUCAUGAGCCUGGUCCUAUCACUCCUAUUUGCAGGGACCACUUCCCUUUCGGAAUCUUGAUUCUCUUAUCUCCAGAGUGGCGACGGUAAUUCCUGUCUCCCCCUGAUGAAUGGCAACCCCGUCCAUCCCACUGUGCAGCCCUCCACUGGACAUUCUCUCUGGCUCUGAUGCCACCACUGUGCCAAAUUUCCCUCAGCCCCCUCCAGGGUGACUGCCAUAGCCUCCAGGCCCUUGCUCCCCUCAGCCCCCUCCAGUCAGUUCUCCAUGCGGCUGCUAGAGUGAACCCUGCAGAGCAUCCGACCCUGUUUAAGUCUGCAAACACUUCCCGUUACUCUCAGGAUAAAGACAUAAUUCCUCUGUACCUCGGCCAACAAGGACCACCCACAGAUCUGGUCUUUGAUGACUUUCCCAUUUCGUUUCCACUCUGCACCCUCCAAAGGCACUGUAUUCCCUGCCAGGCCCCCCUGGUCUCCAAGCUACCUUCUGACUCAGAGCAGUUCCCAUUCUCCGGAACGUUCUUUCCUCCUCUCUUAAUGAACACCUCUACUUCAUCAGAUGUCAGCUCAAGGAUCACUUCCUCGUGGGAUGCUCGAGGUCAAAUUCCCCAGGUCAGUCUCCUUGCCCUGAGCACCAGUCCUUUGUAGACUUUAUGACGCUUAUCAAGACAGCACUGAACAUCUUACCAUGGGAUCACAUGGUGCAUGUCUUUCUCCCCUAUGGCAAAGAUGCCUCCAGGAAGGCUAAUAUCUCAUCUUCUUUGGCAACUGUAUACACUACACCCAGCACGGUGCCUGGCACAGGGCAGUCA